rnacentral:rRNA from 1 species
UGCCUACGGGACCCAGCAGUGAGGAAUAUUGGUCAAUGGGCGGGAGCCUGAACCAGCCAAGUCGCGUGAGGGAUGACGGUCCUACGGAUUGUAAACCUCUUUUGCCGGGGAGCAAGCGUGCGUUCGUGAACGCGCGUCGAGAGUACCCGGAGAAAAAGCAUCGGCUAACUCCGUGCCAGCAGCCGCGGUAAUACGGAGGGUGCGAGCGUUAAUCGGAAUUACUGGGCGUAAAGCGCUCGUAGGCGGUAUGUCAAGUCAAGGGUGAAAUCCCCGCGCUCAACGUGGGAACUGCCUUUGAAACUGGC